CAUUUGGGUGGUCUCUGCUCCUGUGUGUUUGGCAGGGGUUUGGGCCUGCUGGUAUGACCAGGAGGUGACACUUGCCUCUAAGCUCAUAAAAGCUUUACCUGUGGUUGCUAGGGUUUCUGUUGCUUAGCAUAGGUCACACUGCUUUGGGUUAAUGAAAGGAAAGGUGGCUCUUUUCAUUUCUUUAAAUGCCGUGAAGGAGCCUUCUAGCCUGCUGUGUCAUGGCCACCUGACCAUUUAAAAAACACAAAACUGAUCAGACGGUUCUUGUGCCUUCUAGCAUCACUUUUAGCAACAGAGAUAGUGUUUCAUAGCCUGUAGUUAAACACUUAGCAGGUGUCAAGAGUUGUACAACCAAGCUCAAUUGUAAUGGCAAUUUAAAAAGCCAGCAGUCCCUCUGACUGUGUUGUUCUUUUGUGAGGGGAAGGCAGUUGGAACUUCCUGAUUUGUUUCCAUGGAACUCAUGGCCACCUAGGCCGGGUCUUUAUACAGCUUCACAUCUACGCACUCUCUGGACCUACAUCGUCUGACUUGAAUGACAGCCUUGUUUGCCAUAUGUCAGAUUGAUGCACUGUGCUACCUGUAAUGGAGUGGAGAUCGUUACGUGAAGAAAACACGAUCUGCUAAAAUAGAUGAGGCAGAGAGAUUUGUGUCUCUCUUUCUUAAACCACAGCCACUUGUAUAAAAGAAUAUACACCUGCAACAUCCAAUGGCUUUAAAUGGCUCAUGACGCUAUCAGAGGGAUCAGCCCCUUCUCUCUCACUCUCUACCCAUUUUGCUGUUGAAAAUCUCCUCUGCAGCAGAGAGGGCUUCUCGCCAUUUGGAGCAGGUUUUUCAGCGUCUGAAGAUGGGACUCACACUCCACGGUGUAACCAAACCUGGAACAUCUUUAAAAUUAAGAGUGGGGAUGAGCAACACACAACUCUUGGAAUGUUGUUGGAUUGAACCACCUUGACCCCUGACCUUUUGCUGUGCUGCCUAAGGCUGAUUAGAAUAGCCCCACAACAUGAUCUGGAGAGACACAAGCCAUCCUUCUCUUGCACUAGAACCUAUUAUUCCCGUUGGUGUUUCUCUCUUCCUACA